AUGAACGCUAGCUACAGGCUUAACACAUGCAAGUCGAGGGGCAUCAGUUUGGUUUGCUUGCAAACCAAAGCUGGCGACCGGCGCACGGGUGAGUAACACGUAUCCAACCUGCCUCAUACUCGGGGAUAGCCUUUCGAAAGAAAGAUUAAUAUCCGAUAGCAUAUAUUUCCCGCAUGGGUUUUAUAUUAAAGAAAUUCGGUAUGAGAUGGGGAUGCGUUCCAUUAGUUUGUUGGGGGGGUAACGGCCCACCAAGACUACGAUGGAUAGGGGUUCUGAGAGGAAGGUCCCCCACAUUGGAACUGAGACACGGUCCAAACUCCUACGGGAGGCAGCAGUGAGGAAUAUUGGUCAAUGGACGCGAGUCUGAACCAGCCAAGUAGCGUGAAGGAUGACUGCCCUAUGGGUUGUAAACUUCUUUUAUAUGGGAAUAAAGUUGUCCACGUGUGGAUUUUUGUAUGUACCAUAUGAAUAAGGAUCGGCUAACUCCGUGCCAGCAGCCGCGGUAAUACGGAGGAUCCGAGCGUUAUCCGGAUUUAUUGGGUUUAAAGGGAGCGUAGGCGGAUUGUUAAGUCAGUUGUGAAAGUUUGCGGCUCAACCGUAAAAUUGCAGUUGAUACUGGCAGUCUUGAGUGCAGUAGAGGUGGGCGGAAUUCGUGGUGUAGCGGUGAAAUGCUUAGAUAUCACGAAGAACUCCGAUUGCGAAGGCAGCUCACUGGAGUGUAACUGACGCUGAUGCUCGAAAGUGUGGGUAUCAAACAGGAUUAGAUACCCUGGUAGUCCACACAGUAAACGAUGAAUACUCGCUGUUUGCGAUAUACAGUAAGCGGCCAAGCGAAAGCAUUAAGUAUUCCACCUGGGGAGUACGUUCGCAAGAAUGAAACUCAAAGGAAUUGACGGGGACCCGCACAAGCGGUGGAGCAUGUGGUUUAAUUCGAAGCAACGCGAAGAACCUUACCAAGUCUUGACAUCCUUCUGACCGGUACUUAACCGUACCUUCUCUUCGGAGCAGGAGUGACAGGUGGUGCAUGGUUGUCGUCAGCUCGUGCCGUGAGGUGUCGGCUUAAGUGCCAUAACGAGCGCAACCCUUAUCUUCAGUUACUAACAGGUCAUGCUGAGGACUCUGGAGAGACUGCCGUCGUAAGAUGUGAGGAAGGUGGGGAUGACGUCAAAUCAGCACGGCCCUUACGUCCGGGGCUACACACGUGUUACAAUGGGGGGUACAGAAGGCAGCUACACGGCGACGUGAUGCUAAUCCCUAAAGCCUCUCUCAGUUCGGAUUGGAGUCUGCAACCCGACUCCAUGAAGCUGGAUUCGCUAGUAAUCGCGCAUCAGCCAUGGCGCGGUGAAUACGUUCCCGGGCCUUGUACACACCGCCCGUCAAGCCAUGAAAGCCGGGGGUACCUGAAGUACGUAACCGCAAGGAGCGUCCUAGGGUAAAACUGGUAAUUGGGGCU
rnacentral:rRNA from 1 species